GACGAACGCUGGCGGCGUGCCUAAUACAUGCAAGUCGAACGCACUCUCGUUUAGAUUGAAGGAGCUUGCUCCUGAUUGAUAAACAUUUGAGUGAGUGGCGGACGGGUGAGUAACACGUGGGUAACCUGCCCUAAAGUGGGGGAUAACAUUUGGAAACAGAUGCUAAUACCGCAUAAAACCUAAACACCGCAUGGUGUAGGGUUGAAAGAUGGUUUCGGCUAUCACUUUAGGAUGGACCCGCGGUGCAUUAGUUAGUUGGUGAGGUAAAGGCUCACCAAGACCGUGAUGCAUAGCCGACCUGAGAGGGUAAUCGGCCACACUGGGACUGAGACACGGCCCAGACUCCUACGGGAGGCAGCAGUAGGGAAUCUUCCACAAUGGACGAAAGUCUGAUGGAGCAACGCCGCGUGAGUGAAGAAGGUUUUCGGAUCGUAAAACUCUGUUGUUGGAGAAGAAUGUAUCUGAUAGUAACUGAUCAGGUAGUGACGGUAUCCAACCAGAAAGCC
rnacentral:rRNA from 1 species